AAGGUUAAGCCUCACGGUUCAUUAGUACCGGUUAGCUCAACGCAUCGCUGCGCUUACACACCCGGCCUAUCAACGUCGUCGUCUUCAACGUUCCUUCAGGACCCUUAAAGGGUCAGGGAGAACUCAUCUCGGGGCAAGUUUCGUGCUUAGAUGCUUUCAGCACUUAUCUCUUCCGCAUUUAGCUACCGGGCAGUGCCAUUGGCAUGACAACCCGAACACCAGUGAUGCGUCCACUCCGGUCCUCUCGUACUAGGAGCAGCCCCCCUCAGUUCUCCAGCGCCCACGGCAGAUAGGGACCGAACUGUCUCACGACGUUCUAAACCCAGCUCGCGUACCACUUUAAAUGGCGAACAGCCAUACCCUUGGGACCUACUUCAGCCCCAGGAUGUGAUGAGCCGACAUCGAGGUGCCAAACACCGCCGUCGAUAUGAACUCUUGGGCGGUAUCAGCCUGUUAUCCCCGGAGUACCUUUUAUCCGUUGAGCGAUGGCCCUUCCAUUCAGAACCACCGGAUCACUAUGACCUGCUUUCGCACCUGCUCGCGCCGUCACGCUCGCAGUCAAGCUGGCUUAUGCCAUUGCACUAACCUCCUGAUGUCCGACCAGGAUUAGCCAACCUUCGUGCUCCUCCGUUACUCUUUAGGAGGAGACCGCCCCAGUCAAACUACCCACCAGACACUGUCCGCAACCCGGAUCACGGGUCCACGUUAGAACAUCAAACAUUAAAGGGUGGUAUUUCAAGGUCGGCUCCAUGCAGACUGGCGUCCACACUUCAAAGCCUCCCACCUAUCCUACACAUCAAGGCUCAAUGUUCAGUGUCAAGCUAUAGUAAAGGUUCACGGGGUCUUUCCGUCUUGCCGCGGGUACACUGCAUCUUCACAGCGAGUUCAAUUUCACUGAGUCUCGGGUGGAGACAGCCUGGCCAUCAUUACGCCAUUCGUGCAGGUCGGAACUUACCCGACAAGGAAUUUCGCUACCUUAGGACCGUUAUAGUUACGGCCGCCGUUUACCGGGGCUUCGAUCAAGAGCUUCGCUUGCGCUAACCCCAUCAAUUAACCUUCCGGCACCGGGCAGGCGUCACACCGUAUACGUCCACUUUCGUGUUUGCACAGUGCUGUGUUUUUAAUAAACAGUUGCAGCCAGCUGGUAUCUUCGACUGAUUUCAGCUCCACGAGCAAGUCGCUUCACCUACGUAUCAGCGUGCCUUCUCCCGAAGUUACGGCACCAUUUUGCCUAGUUCCUUCACCCGAGUUCUCUCAAGCGCCUUGGUAUUCUCUACCUGACCACCUGUGUCGGUUUGGGGUACGAUUUGAUGUUACCUGAUGCUUAGAGGCUUUUCCUGGAAGCAGGGCAUUUGUUGCUUCAGCACCGUAGUGCCUCGUCAUCACGCCUCGGCCUUGAUUUUCCGGAUUUGCCUGGAAAACCAGCCUACACGCUUAAACCGGGACAACCGUCGCCCGGCCAACAUAGCCUUCUCCGUCCCCCUUCGCAGUAACACCAAGUACAGGAAUAUUAACCUGUUUCCCAUCGACUACGCCUUUCGGCCUCGCCUUAGGGGUCGACUCACCCUGCCCCGAUUAACGUUGGACAGGAACCCUUGGUCUUCCGGCGAGCGGGCUUUUCACCCGCUUUAUCGUUACUUAUGUCAGCAUUCGCACUUCUGAUACCUCCAGCAUACCUCACAGCACACCUUCACAGGCUUACAGAACGCUCCCCUACCCAACAACGCAUAAGCGUCGCUGCCGCAGCUUCGGUGCAUGGUUUAGCCCCGUUACAUCUUCCGCGCAGGCCGACUCGACCAGUGAGCUAUUACGCUUUCUUUAAAUGAUGGCUGCUUCUAAGCCAACAUCCUGGCUGUCUGGGCCUUCCCACAUCGUUUCCCACUUAACCAUGACUUUGGGACCUUAGCUGGCGGUCUGGGUUGUUUCCCUCUUCACGACGGACGUUAGCACCCGCCGUGUGUCUCCCGUAAUAACAUUCUCCGGUAUUCGCAGUUUGCAUCGGGUUGGUAAGUCGGGAUGACCCCCUUGCCGAAACAGUGCUCUACCCCCGGAGAUGAAUUCACGAGGCGCUACCUAAAUAGCUUUCGGGGAGAACCAGCUAUCUCCCGGUUUGAUUGGCCUUUCACCCCCAGCCACAAGUCAUCCGCUAAUUUUUCAACAUUAGUCGGUUCGGUCCUCCAGUUAGUGUUACCCAACCUUCAACCUGCCCAUGGCUAGAUCACCGGGUUUCGGGUCUAUACCCUGCAACUUAACGCCCAGUUAAGACUCGGUUUCCCUUCGGCUCCCCUAUUCGGUUAACCUUGCUACAGAAUAUAAGUCGCUGACCCAUUAUACAAAAGGUACGCAGUCACACGCCUAAGCGUGCUCCCACUGCUUGUACGUACACGGUUUCAGGUUCUUUUUCACUCCCCUCGCCGGGGUUCUUUUCGCCUUUCCCUCACGGUACUGGUUCACUAUCGGUCAGUCAGGAGUAUUUAGCCUUGGAGGAUGGUCCCCCCAUAUUCAGACAGGAUACCACGUGUCCCGCCCUACUCAUCGAGCUCACAGUAUGUGCUAUUUUUGUGUACGGGGCUGUCACCCUGUAUCGCACGCCUUUCCAGACGCUUCCACUAACACACACACUGAUUCAGGCUCUGGGCUGCUCCCCGUUCGCUCGCCGCUACUGGGGGAAUCUCGGUUGAUUUCUUUUCCUCGGGGUACUUAGAUGUUUCAGUUCCCCCGGUUCGCCUCAUUAACCUAUGGAUUCAGUUAAUGAUAGUGUGACGAAUCACACUGGGUUUCCCCAUUCGGAAAUCGCCGGUUAUAACGGUUCAUAUCACCUUACCGACGCUUAUCGCAGAUUAGCACGUCCUUCAUCGCCUCUGACUGCCAGGGCAUCCACCGUGUACGCUUAGUCGCUUAA
rnacentral:rRNA from 1 species